AGAGUUUGAUCCUGGCUCAGAAUCAACGCUGGCGGCGUGCCUAACACAUGCAAGUCGAACGCGAAAGUCCCGCAAGGGAUCGGUAGAGUGGCAAACGGGUGAGUAACACGUGGGUGACCUGCCUUCGAGUGGGGGAUAACGUCCCGAAAGGGACGCUAAUACCGCAUGACAUCCUGCCUUUGAACAGGUGGAGAUCAAAGCUGGGGAUCGCAAGACCUAGCGCUUGAAGAGGGGCCCGCGCCUGAUUAGCUAGUUGGUGAGGUAACGGCUCACCAAGGCAACGAUCAGUAUCCGGCCUGAGAGGGCGGACGGACACACUGGGACUGAGACACGGCCCAGACUCCUACGGGAGGCAGCAGUGGGGAAUUGUUCGCAAUGGGCGCAAGCCUGACGACGCAACGCCGCGUGGAGGAUGAAGACCUUCGGGUCGUAAACUCCUUUCGAUCGAGACGAACGGCUUCCGGGCGAAUAUCCCGGGAGAUUGACGUACCGAGA
rnacentral:rRNA from 1 species